CACUCUUUUUCCCUUAGUAUAGUUUUGUCCCAUGAGAUUUUCUAUACUAAGGUUUUUAAUAAGGUGAUGCUUCACGGGUUCCAAGCUUAGCCAUUUCAUUUAGCUAAGCUUGAGGGGGAGUAUUGAUCAAGAUCUUAUUGAGUAUGUCAAGAUAGAAUAGACCAUUAUCUUCUACUUUAUAUUAGUCUAUUCUAUAUUGACUAAGUUCGGAUAGUAUAGACCACUAGGCUCGUCUCUACAUUAGUCUAUACUAUACAUACG
rnacentral:lncRNA from 1 species